rnacentral:lncRNA from 1 species
GCGACGUCACGCAGCCCCGCCGCCAUUGGCUGCCGCGCCCGCGGGGCGGGGCCGCCGGCAAGGGGCGGGGCCUAGGAGCUGCGGGCCGGAUCCUUCCCGGGACCGACCGCCGUUUGCAGGAGGAGGAGAAGCGUCGGGAGCCAGUCCCAGGAGCGAGAAGAAAAAGGCGGCAAAAAGAAGUCCUCAAAAAAGAGAUUAGCGCCCCCAGCAGCCCAGCCACGCUGAGGACACUCCCGUCCGCCCAGACCUUAGAUUUGCACCAAGCCUGAGGCCUUCGGGUGCUCGCCGGCUGAGGAGAUGAAGCGGCUGUAAGGAGAGGCCGCAGGGGGGUCACUUAGGCCCUGGCCGUGCCACCAGCUUUUGUGCGGGAGGCCCAGGGACGGCCAGGGCGUCGCCCGCCUGCACGAGUCCUCAGGCCUCGGUGAGAAGAAACCUGGGAAAGCCGUGGAAAGAAACAUGGACGUGAAUUCCCUUCGGGAGGCAGGGGGACGGGGAGGCAGGCUGGAUCCCAAGGUGCCGAAACAAGGCCAAAGCAAACUUGAAAUCAGGAUCAGUUUUCAUACUGCCACGCUGCUCUGUCCCAAUGCAGGGGCCACAGCAAAAAGCGGCUGUAUAGAGGGGGCCUAUACCCCAGCUCCGCCCUCCUUGCCUUUGCUAUCACCAAAUGGCUCGCACAAAGCACGCCCGCCUCGUCUUGGCCUCGCUGCGUGGGUGGAUUUCACCCCAGAUACACAAAUGCCACCGCUCUUCCGCUCCGAGAUCCCCGAUGAAGGGCUGAAAUCCGGGGAGUUGGCCGAGUCCGCGGGAAUCGUGGGAAUCCUUGAAAAGCGAGCGUAUGCAAUUAAAAAAAUCCAAUACAGAAGCCGGCAGGCUUCAGAUGUGAACGAAGAGACAAGGAGUCAUCACUAAGAGCCGAUAUAUCACUGAUCAGCCCAGCAUCCAACAAGAGGCAAUGAACAGCUCUUUAUCCCCUGCUAAGGCACAGUGGAAAUUUUUCCCCUGGGGACAGAAAACAGGAAGUGGCCUUGCAGUACUGGUCAUUAAUAAUCCCUGGUUGUCUUUGCUAAUUCGUUUACAGAAUUAAAUAUGGUGCUGGUCCCCGUGACACCUGAUGGUAUCGCUGCCACUACGACAUUUUUCUCCCUGUGGUUGUGGUUUCCUGGGCCUCUGUACAGUGAUGAAUUUCCCCCGGAGGCCCCGAUUCAGGAAGGUGUGCAAGUACUUGCCUGACUUGAAGCACAUACUCAGAACCAUUUUUAGGUUUCAAAACAUGCCUAAGCCCCUUAUUUUGAAAGUGACCGAGGCCCUUCUAUUUCUAUUUCUGAGCCCAAGAUUUCACAGAUUUCAUAGACAUUAGGGCUGGAAGGGACCUCGGGAGAUCAUCGAGUCCAGCCCCCUG